UACGUAGGUGGCAAGCGUUGUCCGGAUUUACUGGGCGUAAAGAGCGCGCAGGCGGUCGUACAAGUCGCGUGUGAAAGCCCCCGGCUCAACUGGGGAGGGUCACGCGAUACUGAUCGACUCGAAGGCAGGAGAGGGUAGUGGAAUUCCCGGUGUAGUGGUGAAAUGCGUAGAUAUCGGGAGGAACACCAGUGGCGAAGGCGACUACCUGGCCUGUUCUUGACGCUGAGGCGCGAAAGCUAAGGGGAGCAAACGGGG
rnacentral:rRNA from 1 species